UACGUAGGGUGCAAGCGUUGUCCGGAAUUAUUGGGCGUAAAGGGCUCGUAGGCGGUCCAUCGCGUCGGGAGUGAAAAGCUGGGGCUUAACCCCAGUCCUGCUUCCGAUACGGGUGGACUAGAGGUAGGCAGGGGAGAACGGAAUUCCUGGUGUAGCGGUGAAAUGCGUAGAGAUCCGGAGGAACACCAGUGGCGAAGGCGACACGCUGGGCCGUACCUGACACUGAUGCGCGACAGCAUGGGGAGCAAACAGG
rnacentral:rRNA from 1 species